UACGGAGGGCGCAAGCGUUGUUCGGAAUUACUGGGCGUAAAGCGCGCGCAGGCGGAUCGGUAAGUGGGGUGUGAAAGCCCGGGGCUCAACUCCGGAACUGCAUUCGAAACUACCGGGCUAGAGUCCCGGAGGGGAGGGCAGAAUUCCCAGUGUAGGGGUGAAAUCCGUAGAUAUUGGGAGGAAUACCAGCGGCGAAGGCGGCCCUCUGGACCAUGACUGACGCUCCGGCGCGAAAGCGUGGGGAGCAAACAGG
rnacentral:rRNA from 1 species